UGGUGGAGUGAUUUGUCUGGUUAAUUCCGUUAACGAACGAGACCUUAACCUGCUAAAUAGUAACCGAAAGACUUCUAAAAAAACACGUUGGUGGCUAGGGUGAAGUUUCGAUGGAGCCUGACCCAUUAGCGUGUGGAUGACUUCCGGGAAUACUUCUUAGAGGGACUAUUUGUAUUAAAGCAAAUGGAAGUUUGAGGCAAUAACA
rnacentral:rRNA from 1 species